UCAGCUUUGAACGCAGUUGGAUGUGGUAUUACACUCCUGGGAUGUACAUUCUACGGGUAUGUGAGGCACAUGCUCUCUCAACAGCCACCACCUCCAGGAACACCACGAACACCCCGAACUCCAAGGAAUCGAAUGGAAUUGCUUCCCCUUGUAAAUGAUAAAUUAGAUGAUAAAGUCUAAAAACUAGGUCGUGUAUGAGGUUCGUAGCAGUUGGCACAGGCGUAAUACAAAUACAAGGGGGAAAAUGGAAAAACACAACUUAACUUUGUUUUUCCAAAAAAAAAAAAAAAAAAAAA
rnacentral:misc_RNA from 1 species